CGUUUCCGCUGCUUUGACAACAGUUUGUGCCAGACCGCCUUCUUGGACCUCAAAGGCUGUUCCACCUGAGAAGAAAACACGGGGCUUGCGGUGACUUCAGGAGGUUACAUCACAGCAACCACAGCGAAGCUCCUGGCCAGCAAAAUCCAGGCUGGACAGAUGCCGCCAGACAAUUCUCCUGGUUGUGGGGCCCUUGUGCCCGGUGCUCUAAAACAGCAGGUGGAUGGAGUGAGAGGAGAGCCAACGAUGACUGCAAGAAGACCCUUCAGAGGGAAUUUAAGAGAAAUGUCCACAGAUCAGGAAUCUAAAAGAUCCUGUCUUCAUAUAUCUCACAUGGGGAACAGAUGUGUUUGCCAGAAGUUGAAUGCAAAAUGAAUUUUGGAAAAUCAAAUAAAAAUUAUU